rnacentral:tRNA from 1 species
UAGCUCAGUUGGUAGAGCAUGAAACUCUUAAUCUCAGGGUCGUGAGUUCAGGUCCCAU